rnacentral:lncRNA from 1 species
CGACAUGAUGAAAACACCCCAAAAUCCAUCCAAAAUUAGGAAAAGUGGUGUGGCAAUAGUUGUUCAUGCCAUCAGUUACAAAGUAUGUACAAGACUAUGUCAGAGGCCAUUGCCAAGCAAAAUGCAAGGCAAAAAAGCCCUGACAGACUCCCCCACUUGAUCAGAUCGAUGUCCUCGUCGAUGUGCUCCUUUUAUAUGCUUCAAUCCGAUCCUCCUCAUGCCGUAGCAAAUCCUUCGAUUCCCAGCUGGCUUCUGACUCAGAAAGCCUCUCCACUUCACCAAGUAC